GGGAUAACACUUGGAAACAGGUGCUAAUACCGUAUAACACUAUUUUCCGCAUGGAAGAAAGUUGAAAGGCGCUUUUGCGUCACUGAUGGAUGGACCCGCGGUGCAUUAGCUAGUUGGUGAGGUAACGGCUCACCAAGGCCACGAUGCAUAGCCGACCUGAGAGGGUGAUCGGCCACACUGGGACUGAGACACGGCCCAGACUCCUACGGGAGGCAGCAGUAGGGAAUCUUCGGCAAUGGACGAAAGUCUGACCGAGCAACGCCGCGUGAGUGAAGAAGGUUUUCGGAUCGUAAAACUCUGUUGUUAGAGAAGAACAAGGAUGAGAGUAAAAUGUUCAUCCCUUGACGGUAUCUAACCAGAAAGCCACGGCUAACUACGUGCCAGCAGCCGCGGUAAUACGUAGGUGGCAAGCGUUGUCCGGAUUUAUUGGGCGUAAAGCGAGCGCAGGCGGUUUCUUAAGUCUGAUGUGAAAGCCCCCGGCUCAACCGGGGAGGGUCAUUGGAAACUGGGAGACUUGAGUGCAGAAGAGGAGAGUGGAAUUCCAUGUGUAGCGGUGAAAUGCGUAGAUAUAUGGAGGAACACCAGUGGCGAAGGCGGCUCUCUGGUCUGUAACUGACGCUGAGGCUCGAAAGCGUGGGGAGCGAACAGGAUUAGAUACCCUGGUAGUCCACGCCGUAAACGAUGAGUAUAGAGUGUUGGAGGGUUUCCGCCCUUCAGUGCUGCAGCA
rnacentral:rRNA from 1 species